rnacentral:rRNA from 1 species
UUCGAUUAAGCCAUGCGAGUCGAGAGUCUUAGGGACUCGGCGUACCGCUCAGUAACACGUGGGUAACCUGCCCUAUGCUGGGGAAUAACCUCGGGAAACUGAGAAUAAUGCCCCAUAGUCCACCAUGCCUGGAACGGUUGGUGGAUCAAAGCUCCGGCGGCAUAGGAUGGGCCUGCGGCGUAUCAGGUUGUAGGGGGUGUAAUGUACCCUCUAGCCAUCAACGCGUACGGGUGUUGGGAGACAUAGCCCGGAGAUGGAUUCUGAGACACGAAUCCAGACCCUACGGGGUGCAGCAGGCGCGAAAACUUGGCAAUGCGAGCAAUCGUGACCAGGGAACUCCAAGUGGCUGGGGUAAGACCCAGUCUUUUCUUGACUCUUCAAAGGUCUUGGAAUAAGGGGUGGGUAAGGACGGUGCCAGCCGCCGCGGUAAUACCGGCGCCUCAAGUGGUAGUCGAUUUUAUUGGGCCUAAAACGUCCGUAGCCUGUUUGGUACAUUCGUGGGUAAAUCAACCAGCUCAACUGAUUGAAUUCUGCGAGCACGGCCAGACUUGGGACCGGGAGAGGUGUGGGGUACGCUCAGGGUAGGGGUAAAAUCCUGUCAUCCUGAGCGGACCACCUGUUGCGAAGGCGCCACACUAGAACGGAUCCGACGGUCAGGGACGAAGCCUAGGGGCACGAACCGGAUUAGAUACCCGGGUAGUCCUAGGUGUAAACGCUGUGGACUUGGUGUUGGGGAUUCUCCGAGGAUUCUCAGUGCCGAAGCGAAGGUGAUAAGUCCACUGCCUGGGGAGUACGGUGGCAAGGCUGAAACUUAAAGGAAUUGGCGGGGGAGCACCGCAACCUGAGGAUUGUGCG